CAUUUGUCACGGUCCAUCCACUACCAAAUAAAAAAAGAAUCUUUUAUUCUCUUCAGAAAUGGGAGACACCAGAAUAGAAAAAAGAAGGGACCACUUCUUCAAGGAAGCAAACGGACUUAGUUAAGAAAGUAUAGGGGAUUCAUUGAAUGGAGGCCACUGGAAAACUAAAGCACACAGCAUAGUGAAGAUAUGAAACUACAGCUGAUUUUAUUAGCUGAAAAGAAACACAAGCAUCCUCCAUAUGGUCCAGCAGCUGGUCCAGCAGUUGGAGGCAGCAGCUCCCACGUCUACACAUCCAAGUGUCACGGUUGGAAGCAAAGGAUGCUGGUGGAAGAAAAGCACACGGACACCAACAAAAAUGGAGGGGCCCUCACCCUAUUUUCUCACGGCCAAGUAAACUAUUUUCUCACGGCCAAGAAUGCAAGGAAAAGAUGCUCACUCAAAGACAAGGAAGCCUCACGGGAGGAGCUUCAGAAUCGGGCUAUAAAGAAGCAAGCAGCAGAGAAGGAACAAGGGGGGAGAAGUCCAGCAGAGAGUGCUGGACCGAGGGCUGGACAGGGAGCUGGGAUAAGGUUUUCAGAGUUUUGGAGUGUGGAGACCGUGAGCUCGAGGAGAAGUUGGAGAAAGAAAGAAAGCUGUCACUAGAAUGGAGGAGGAUGUAGCGUGAACUCUUGCUGGUUUUGUACAUCUUUUUAUUAAAGCUUUGAUUCAUAUGUUGUUAUAUUCAUCUUUGCAUUUUAUAAACUGUAAAUUGGAUUCUCUGUUUGUGCAAGUUGUUACUGUAAUUUGAUGAGCCUUGUAAUUUUGUUUUGGAAGUGUUUCAUUUCUUGUAUUUAUGCUGAAAAGUUCACGGUUGUUCAUGUUUCUCUCAUUUUAGUUUCCUUUGAUGCACUUUUGGUUGAAUGUUUUUGUUGAUUAUGUAUGAAUCUUCACGGCUGUUUAAAGAUAGAUAAUGAAGUAUUGUUUCAAGCUUGUAUUUUAAUUUUGUUAGAAGUAAAAAAAGAAGCAAAGUAAAUGGUGAAUUAAUGAGAUGUCCACGGUUCUUUCUAUUUUUAGUAUCUCUUUGGUUUUGAUUUAACUGGAAAGAAAAGGGUGCCUUGUGUAAUAGCUGGAAUGUUAAAUUGUUGAAGAUGAAGAAGUGAAUUAGGUGAAACUAGGUGUGUGUACGUCCAUGAACUUCUUUUCCUUGUAGAAAUCGAACAUCUUUCUUCUAAUAAAAUUCCAUUAGGAUUUAAUCCAACCUCUUUUUGCAUUAUGUUUUUAUCUUUAAUUGAGUUGUUUUAGAAGAAGUGCCGCUGGAAUGAUGUGUUUGUUAGGAAUAAAAUUAAAAUUGCUUUUCAUCAAAGAAGAAGAUAAGAAGUGUUAAUUAAGGGUUAGGAGUACGUAAGAGUGAAAGCAUGUUUAUUUUGUAAAAUAAUUUGGUAUGGAUGUUGUAAGGCACGGUGUUGGAUAAAGAAAUCUGAUUUCAUUUUCAUUUUCAAUCAAACCCAUGGAAGCUCAACAUGUCCCCAUGGAAGCUCAACAUGUCACUGUAUAUAGAGAAGUUUAGAAGCAAUUGCAAUUUCAAAUUUAAUUUCUUUUAGAAGAUACUCUACGCUUUUUUUACCUUCACUGUUCAAGAAUUUUAUUUCAAUUAUUGAAUCCUUCGUGUAUUUCAUUUUCAAUUAAGUGCUUUUAUUGUCUAUUUUCUGUUACAGCGUUUUAAUUUCAAGCAAUGAUGAAUUUUACGUUUUCUGAUUUUAUUGUCUUUUACCGUUUAGUUUUUACGGUCUUUAAAAUUUACUUCAACAAUUUUUUUAAUUUUGUUUUGUUUAAAUUCCAGUUUUAAUUUAUUUUUCACACAAAAUAAAAAAAUCACAAACAAACCCCCAUUACGUGUUAAAUCUGAGACCGAACCACAAAUAUUGGUCCUUGUGAGACGACCUAGGAGUCACUUCCUAGUUAUACUGCAUUUAUUCAUGCACAUCAAAUUUGACGGGUCGCGACGCCCGUAUCAUGUAUGAAUAAGGUCCUGUCCGUUAAGUUGACAACAAUAGCGUUAAGUUCAUGCUGAUGUGGCCGUACUUUUUCUCUUCUCUAUUUUGCUGUCCAGCUUUUUCUAUCUCUUUUUCAGCUUUUUCUUUGAUGAUUUGUUGAACUUGUUCUUUCUUUGUGGACCUUUAUUCAUAUAUUUUUCAUAACAUAGGGACCCAAUGUCUUCAUUUUUAAAACCAGAUACUAAACAAAAAUUCACCUCUUAACAUGGGGACGACGUCAACAUUCACUACAAGAAAUAUAUUUAUUACCGAAGGAAUAAUACCGACGGCCUUAUGACCUUCGGUAAAUGUCGUUUACCGAAGGAUUUAUCGACGGUCAUUUGAAUGGUUAAUUACCGAAGGCUUUUACCCUUCGGUAACGGGGACAGUGACAGUACCGAAGGAAUACGCCAUUCUCCCAUUCCCACAUUUUAGUGAAAUUAGAAUUAGGGAUUUCGCUCUCCCAUUCUCGGAAAAUCAGUCUCUGUGAAACCAUCUCUCCCCAGAAACCUCUCUCGACCCUAAUCUCCCUCUCUCGACCCUAAUCUCCCUUUCUCGGUCAAUGGUGGCCAUUUUUUCGCACUUCCCCCUAGCCUUUACGUCAUUCUCCCUUUUGUGAUUUGAUCCACUCCUCAAUCGUGGUGUGCUUAUUCGUCUAUCGUGGAAGGAAAUUGACCCUAAGGAAGUUGGUUGGUGAGGUGAGGGUUUACAUUGUCGUUGGAAGGGGUUUCGUGACGGUGGUGAGGCAGCUUGAGGAGGGUGCUAUGGCGGCCUGAGUAGGGUUUGGCUAUCGCGACGCCGCCAAUCGAAGGGGUGCGUGACGAAACCGUUGUUGCUGCGUGAGGAGGGGCUGAGGCACAGUUGUUGAAGGGCUGCAGUUGAAGUGAAGUGUCCAAGAUUUCAUCAUUUCCAGGUACAUCAUUUAUGUUUAAGGACAUGUCUUUAUUGUAUGAACUGUUGCCACUGUAUUUGGUUGAGUGUGAUGUUGUUGUCCUAAGUGCACAAUAGAUUUGAGCUCGUAAACGUGUGCAUAUAUCAACACUUGUGCCCCCAACUCUUUAUUAGAAUCCCUUUCCCUUUCACCAUCUCUUGAAACCCAUCUUUCAACAACCACUUCUCCAAUUGCUCUGUUCCAUAUGCACAUCUAAUUACCAAAAUGAAUGCCCUUUUCAUUCAUUCCAAUCCUCACACUAAUUGUAUUAAUUGGUCAGGAUCUGGAUGGUUUAGGCUGCCAAGGACAUAAGUCCUACACACCAUAGCUUAUGCCUUGUAACCCUUUCAUACUCUUUAACAUACUGGAAAAUUAGAGUAUGCUCUGCUGGGUUAUAAUGAUUGGUUGGGUCUAAAGUGAACUUAAAGGUUUAAUUAGGUUAUGGGAGCUUGUAGACUAGAAUUGUAAUACUGCAACACUUACUGUGUGGUGUUUUGUUCUUCAUGAGGCUAGAAUGGUCAAUUAGAGUGCAAUUAGAUGGUUUUUUGAUGUUUUGCAAAUUGCCUUGAUUGUCCAAUACCACUUUCGUUUGAUCUUGAAUGGUCCAUUAUGAUCCUACCACAUAAAAAUAGCUGUUGUGUUUGAUCUCAAAUAGGUAGAACAACAUUUGAAACUAUUGUUUUAAAUCUGGUUUGGCAUAUAGAUCAUUGUUGAAUAUCUUAUAGUAAUCUUCUAGUGUCUUGUUGAUGUUGUUGCACCCGCAGAUACUGACUGUGUUCUUCACCUUUUUCCCCAAAAGUUUGAAGAUAUCAGUAAUUACAAUUGACCCUGAGAUUCAAGAAGUGGGUAUAUAUAUGUUACAAUAAGUAGUGAAUCCAAGGAGAAGAUAUAUAGGAGAAAUAAUAAACUAUUGAUAACAAAAACAAGCUCCAUCGUAAGGAGAAAGCCCAAUGGUUUUCUCAGAGGAUAGUGUAGUGAGGGGAUGUCAUGAGAUAGUAGAGUCUAAGUUGGUGAGCACCAGACUCAUAUCUCAUAAGGACAAGGACAUAGGUCAACUCCUGCUACCUAUGUGAGGACCUUGUUGGUGGACAAUGGCUAAGUAUGUUUAUAAGUAGUCAUAGAGCUUGAAGGCCUACCCUGGUCUUGGGGAACUUGUGGGACCUAAGUCCUCUAACUUUUUUUCUAAGUAAACAACCUUUUUCAUUCUGUUUAUCGUUUUUUAGGAUGACCAUAAUUAAUGUUUAAGGUCAAAUAUUCAAUACUUGAAAACCUGUUAUAUAAGAUUAUUGUUGUCAAGCUUUUUUUAUUUGGUGUCUGUUUUCUUGCUUCCCAUUAAUUGGUGCUGCCAGGUCAUUGAUAUUUUGUUCUAAAAAGUGAUCAUGUUGCUGGAAACAGAUUUUUUUUAUAUAUAUAAUCCAGUACACGUUGUUGUCCAGUGAAUUGGUGCUAUUUAUGGUGUUGUGAAGACCUUUUUGACUUAUUUUGUUUUGGAGCACACUGCUGAUUUGGUGCAACUUAGAUGUUUAUAAUGUAUGCUAUUUUUUUGGGUGCAUUAAAGUGGGUUUAGGAAGGGUUCAAGUUGCAUGGUUUAGUGCAUAUAUAAUGGAUAUAUUGUCCUAAAAAAUCAUCCAUGUUAGGGUGCUUAGUGCAGUAACUUUCUGGUCAAAAAAAUUGUAUGUUUUAAAAUGUGAAUGGGUGUAGUAAAUCAAAGUGUUGCCCUAGAUAUUUGAGUUGGUGUAUUGCGGUGCAUUUUGUUGGGUUAUAUAAUUUUAUUAGGCCAUUGAAAUCUUGAUUUCUAUCUCAUUCAACACGAAAAAAAAAGCAAUAAAAACUGUUGUUGUUUUGUUUUUUUUAUGAACGUGAAUUCAUGGUUUUUGUUCUUUGGGUGCAUUGCUUUUUUUUUUUGUGAAUUUUUGGAUGCCUGCCUCUGAAAAAUGUGAUGCUAGAAAAUCCAGUUUUGGUGUUUUGUUAUUUUCUGGAAACAUGGUUUGAAACCUAAUGUUAUUGGAUGUUGCUGGAGUUUCUUUUCGGUCCAGUAUGUGUAAAAAUUAUGGUGCUAUGCUUGCUGUUUUUGUGUGUUUUAUGGCAAAAUUUUGGUGCAUUAAAGUGAUGUUUAUUGUCUCCAAUAGGCACAACUUGGUCCUAUAUCCCUUCCUUUUGCUAAAGAGAACAACGGUAAUUGCUAGAUGCUGGUAAUUCCCAAUUACAGUAUAAAAUUGUGGGAGAUUUAAAUAUCGUUCAGGGGCAUUUACCGAAGGCUUUAGCCCUUCAGUAAUAACUGAGGGCUUUUGUCCUUCGGUAAUUACCGAAGGCUUUUGCCCCUCGGUAAUUACCGAAGGCUUUUGGCCCUCGGUAAUUACCGAAGGGCUAAAGCCCUCGGUAAAUGUUAGCGACAAGGGAUUUACCGAGGGCUCUUUGGCCGUCGAUAAGCCUUCGGUAAUUACCUUUUACCGACGGCUUUGGGCUGUUUCCGAGGGCUUCUGGCCUUCGGUAAUGCCCUUCUUUUUUGUAGUGAUUUAAGCCUACAUUUAACUUGUAUUGGAGAUAAUUCAACACACUUUGUUUUGCAGUGUUAUAUACUUGCUUGCAUAACCUAAUAAGAAGUGAGAUAUUGCAAGGUUUUCACCCAAGUUCUAUGCAGCUACGUGACUUUACCUCUUUAUGAUUUAGUCACACAGGAAAGAUACAUGAACAUUUGAUGUAAGAUAAAUAUCCAUGUACUCUGUUAGAAAUAAGGAGGCUUGUUUCUCAACACCAAGAAGGGGGAGGGGGUGAAUUAGUGUUUUAUAAAAACUUAUAGUUUUCAAAUCUUUUUGAGAAAUUAGAAUCAUCUUUAAACUUUCUUGUGUUGUAAGUAAAUGUGCAUGCAAAGAAAGUAAAGAGAUAAGGAAAGAAAAUCAAACUCAGAUAUUUAUCUUGGUUCGGCCUCUAUGCCUACAUCCAAUCACUUUCCCAAUCAACUUUAUAUUGGAGAGUAUUUAUCUAUAAUGAUCAGAGUAUUACAGCCAAGGUUUUACAAAGUUCUCUCAAAUGUAAACACCUUUUCAACUCUCAAUCAAAUAUAAAAACAAAAUACACUUGCACACACAGAACCACUUGUCCCUGUUGCAGAAACCCUUUGAGAAUCUCCUCUCAAAUUCAAAGAGCUCGUCACUCUUCUUCCUGACGCGCACGUCCAGGAAAACAACAAAUCAAAGAUUGCAAAAAACUUCUUCUGAUCAAACUAGAUACACUUGCAGUAGUGCUAAUGUGAUCAACCAAUGUAGUCCACGAAAAUGCUUCUAAAAAAUGUCUCAAGAUUCCUCAAAUUCUUCACGUUCUUGAUUCUUUGAGCAUAUGUGCAACAUGUAAAACUUUCUAAGAUAUAAACAGUAAGAUAUGAAAUUGUUAGAAUGAUCAAAAGUCUUAGAUUUACAAACAAUGCGUCAAUUUAUAGUUAUUGUCAUAUUAGACGCAAAGUAAUCGAUUACAUUAGUAAUGUAAUCGGUUACAUAAAGCAGAUGUAACAAUAUUACAACUAACUCAGCCCUUAAUUGAAUGCUCAAUUAAUCUAAUCGAUUUGCAUUUAAUGUUAGUGAAACAUAUUUAAAAAUAUGAACGUUAAAGUAGUUAUGACUAGCAUGAAAUCAGUUUUCAAAAUAUAACAGACUUAAUUGAAUACACAACAUAUGUAAUCGAUUAAGCUUAACACUUAAACAAAUUUUGAAAACUUUUCUUCUUAAAAACACAUCACAGUACAUUUGAAAAAUAUAUAUGCAAACAAACGAGUUUUAAUCGAUUUAACAACUAAUGUAAUCGAUUCAAACUAAUUGUUUUCCCACAGUUCCAAACAUAAGUUGUCUGAUGACCUUAAUUGAUUACUACAACAUUAUAAUCGAUUAUGUCAUGCAUAUAUGCUUUUUGUGCUUGUGGUUUUCAUUACACAAACACAUGCAUUGUGCAUACACAGAUAUAAUCAAAUCAUAAUCACAAUAGUACACAUAACCAACACAAUAUGUUCAACAUAUGCAUUUAUCACAGUACGUGCACAUACAUUAGUGCAUAAUUGACCUUUAACGUCACCCCGUAGACGUCGAACCAUAAAAUAACCAAUGUAAAUUAUUGAUCGGUGGCAUUUUCAUAAAUAAGUGGGCAUAUAGACGUCGGUUAGGAGGGAUGUCGACGUCUAUAAUAUUAUAGACGUCGGCCCCCCUUGUAACAGACAUCUAUAUGGCUGACUGGGUAGGUGAAAAGUCAUUUUUUUCCGCCAUAUAGACGUUUGAUCCCUCCAUGUCCGACGUUUAUAUGCCCCCGCGAAUAUUAAUUUUUAAAUCAGAAAGACGUCAUAUUAGUGAGGGCCCCAACGUCUAGUUCAGAAUAGAGGUCGGGUACUGGAGGCACCGACGUCUUGAUUCCUGUUAAAUCAGAAAUCGCGAACUCGCGAUUACGCACACUUCAUCGUCUUCCUCCUCGCCUUUUCUCUUCGCGGCAUUGUAUUUCCAGGUGCAUUUUAUCUCUUUUGAACUAGUUAAACUUAUUUUUACUCUGAUUAAAUUAGUCUUUGAUGGAUUAUCUUCCAUUUGAACCCAUUAAAUUGAGUUUUCAUUGUAUUUUGAUGCAGUUUUUCUCGUGUCUUUGAGUAGCGUAGUAGCACAUUCUCCCUUUGCUAGUUUCCUCGUAAGAAAGCUUGCGUCUUUUGGAUCUCUUAAAGCAAGCUUUUCUUAUGAGGAAGCUAGCAAAGGAAGAAGGUGCUACUACGCUACCCAAAGACACGAGCUACAGUAGACGUUGGUUAAUGCCAUGUCUGAUGUCUUUUAUAGACGUCGGUUAUGGUGUAAUCCGACGUCUUUUAUAGACGUUGGACUCCAUAGAAUCUGACGUCCCAUUAACAUCACCCUAAAGACGUCGGAUCGGGAUCUGACGUUAAAAGCCCAAAAUAGCAGACGUCUAAAACCCUUUCUGCACUAGUGAUAACACAAUAAGCAUGUACAUAUAUCACAUAUGUUUAACACAACACACAAACACUUUUCUGUUGUGACAUGACAACAUUCAUGCGUUGUUGCUAUUAAUAUGUUGUCAUCAUAAAAAACAACAUAACAGGGAUUGGGUUUAGCUAUCACAUUACUCCCCUAUCAACAAUCUCCCCCUUUUUUGAUGAUGCACAACCAUGAUUAACAAAAUAACUAUGAUGUACAGUACACAAUAAAAAAUUGCUUCACACAGUUUCAAACACAUACAUAUAAAUACAUAUAUGUCAUACACAUUCAACUAUCUCAGUCAAUGUUCAAUUAUUUCUCCCCCUUUGGGCAUGAGCAAAAAACGAAUUAUAGCAUAAUGUAAUUGAAACACAGAGAUAUUGAUUCUCACAUAGAUGCAUCAAUGAUGGACAAAUUUAUGAACACCGAAAUACAGUGUCACAAACUUGUUUUACAAUCGGCAAGUAUGACUGAAUCGUUUCAAGUAAUAAACUUGGUAAGACCAAGUAUCGUUCUCCCAAAGGACUCACGGCCUAGUUUAGUUAUGUGAUUCGUUGAUUAGCUAAGACUUAAGAACAAAAUAAUUGGAUUUUACUAUGCAAAAGACGAAAAUAAACAUGUAUGCAUGAGGUUGAUCAAUGGCUAAAACAAAAUACAAACACUUUCAAUGGAAUAUAUUGAUGAGUAUGUUGUUGGGGUUUAUCAAUUUCAUCUUAUUCCACUCUCAUAUAUUUUAGGAAUUCAACAUUCAAGUCAUCAUUGUUAAUGCCACUCUCUAAAUUACCUUUCAAGAAGGCUUCUCCCUAAUUACGAGUUCAUACGAUUCCUAGCAUCCCUAAUAAUUAUUUUAUUUAGCGCAGGAGCUUAAGGCAACCAAUAUACUAUUGGGAGAAAUUCCCUAGAUCUAGACUUCCCCGUACAUUUCCGUAUCGACAAAACCAAUAAUCAUGCAUUGAAUGAGUUAAACAAAGCAAGCAUUGAGCAAAGAAGAAAAACCCUAACUAAUGAUGAAAGAAAGCAUAGGUCUUAAAUAUAAGAUGUAAAAACAAAUUUCAUAUAUGAGAGUUUCAUAAGACUAUAUUGAUUCCCCAACAACAAUACAAGGUUUAGUUCACCAUAUUCAUGGUGAAACUAGAUGAACAAUAAUGAAAUAAGGAAAGAUAAAACCCUAGAAAGGUGAAGAGGUAGCCUGAGCAUCCAAGAUCCUCCUUCAAAGGGGUGGAAGAGAGAGUAUUUGCUUCGUCACAGCCAAAGAUACAAACCCUAGGAAAACCUAAAGCUUAUAUACUAUUCGUAAAUUACAGAAAAUUAGGCCCAAGCCCAUAAUAGUGCCGCUUAGCGGUAAAGUACCGCUCAGCAGUAAGUGCGCGAGCUCGGUUCUUCCCCUCAGCGGCCAUUUUGCCCCUCAGCGGACCUCCCGUGAACUCCUGAGUGCCGCUCAGCGGUAAACUACCGCUGAGCGAUAGUUGCGGCUUCUCCUUUUGCACUUUUUGAUGUCUUUUCUGAUUCCAUCUCUCUCCUUCUUCACUCAUUUCACCAAAUUCACCUUAAAACCUGCACAAAAACACUGAAAUCAAGCAUAAACCUGUCCAGCUCUGUUAUUUCUGAAAAUAUGAAUAAAAACAUGAUUUCAAGCUAGUUUCUAAGUAUAAAGGUUGCUUUUAGUAUCAAUUUUAAGCAUGAAAAUAACAGUUUUUCAACUGUUAUCACAACCUCAAACUUAGAUCUUUGCUUGUCCUCAAGCAAACAAGAUGUAACUCAAUCUUCAACCAAUUCAUAUGAUGGUUCACUCAUUCAAAAAUCUCCUUUUCAAGAUAAGUAAAGACUUCAAUCAAACUUAUGAUCAAGAUUUCAAUCAAGAUGUGCACAUGCUUUAGUGUUCACAAAGUCAGUCAAUAUCCAACAAAUGUUAUUUUUCAUGAAUAAUCAAUCAAUUAAGCAUGGAUGUUCAUGUGCUCAUGGAAUACUUCCUCACCAGGUAAAGUGUUUCACUCACACUCAAGUGUAUAAGAGGUAAUCACUCAUUCACUCCACUAUCACAAUGUCACAUGAAUUAACUUUGCCUUUCAUUUAACCACAAUCAAAAACAUUAACAAGCAUGCAUCAUCACAAGGACUUUUCAAUGGCUUAUAAUGUGGCUGGGCUAACAAGAAAAUUGGUUUUUCUGGAUCACAAAAUCCUUGAGUUAAGAGAAUCAUAACAACACAAUUAUUCUUAUUUUUCCCAACUUGCCUUUGCAUUUGCAUUGAGCUUUGCUUUUUCUUUUCUUUUCUUUUCUUUUCUUUUUCUUUUCUUUUUCUUUAAGCUCAAUGCUUUUCCUUUUUAUUCUUCAUGGUUUCCCAACAACCCCAAACUUGAACAUUUAACAAUACCACACAUGAUUUUCUACUUAACUCAAGGUAAAGUUUUUCAACAAGGGUUUUCAAUUUAUGUUCAAGGCUAAGGGUUCAAAGGAUAGAACACAAGGUGUUUUCUUUUAGUGGGCUAAUUUUAUGAAUUUGGCCAAUAAAAAGGGUUUCAACAAACGGCCUUGAUCAUAUGAUGCAAAACAAGCAAUUGAUUCAAUCAUAGAAAACCUGGGCAAAAUCAUUCAUGCUUCCAAAGUAAUAGUAUUCAAUCAUAACAAAAACUCUGGAGCUCAAAACCUCACAUAUAAGCUCAUUCACAUUUGACAUGCACAUCAUGCUUAAUAUCACAAUCACAACCAUAAUAUCCUGCAUUUGUUCACAAAGCUUGUGAAUCACCUGUAUAAGCAUUUUAUGUGCACAUCUAUCUCAACCACUACAAGAAAAAUGAUUAUUAUCUACCGAUAAUUAUAUACGGAUUUUAAUCCGUAUAUAACAUGAGUAUUAUAUACGGAUAUUAUAUACAGAUCUUAAAAAUAAAAUUAUAUACGGAUAUUAUAUACGGAUUUUAUAUACAGAUAUAUCCGUAUAUAAAAUCCGUAUAUAUUUUUUGCGCUUGGUGACAGAAGAGUUUCCUAAGGAUAAUAACCGUAUGUAAGUACAGAAGCAAGUGUUACCCACCGAUAGUACAUACGGAUCUGAAAAUUAAUUUUAUUUCGAAAAGAUUGAAAUUAUAUUUCAUUCGAACCUUGUUUGGUGGAACACUCGCUUGAGGUGUGUUCUCUCGAAUCUCUCUCGAUCCCUAGCUCUGCAUUCUCCACAAAUUGUCCCAAAUGUCUCUACAACCCUAAGCUUAAGUCUCCAUUCUAUACCCACUGAUUCUCUCAAAUGUCUCUGCAACCCUAACUUCAAUUCUUCACGCUCCAUGCACUCUCCACUCUCCACUCUCCACUCUCCACGCAUUGAUUCUCUCAAAUCUCUCUCGAACCCUAACUUCAACCAUUCACUCUCGAUGCAUUGAAACUCUCAUCUCUCGAACGCACUGAAACACUCAAGCUGUGUUCGUGAGAAAAACCUUUUCCCUAAAUCUCCUUGUGCCUCGUUGAGGAAUCUCGUUCAGCACCUUCGUUUCACCUCUAUGGUUCAGUGGCGGUCUUCGUUAGGAUGAUGCUAAGACCUUCAUCUGGUAAGUAAUCCUUUCUUCCUUAAUUUUCGUAGUAAUCUCUAAUGCUAGUAUUGCGUAAAAUCGAAAAAGGGUCAACCCUAAUCUGUGUUUAAUUCAUUCAGGUUACCCGCAAUAAUUCGUUAAUAAGCAUGAAAAGAUUUUAGAAUUAGGGAUUUACUAGUUUUUCUCUAUUACCGAGUAAUAUGAUAAGCAAUACUUUGCUUUUUUUUUGGAUGUUAUGGGUUUGAUUUUGAAUUUCUUAAUUUGACAUCUGAGUGGGUUCAGCUUAGUUGUGUUAGAUUGUAGAGAUUUGAUUUUGGUGAGGAGGGUUUUUCCUUUUUCAAAUCAAUGCAUUUUUUUUCAUUUACUUUCAAUUGUUUGGAUGCGAAAAAAAUUAUGAAUUAUGGGGAGCUUUGGGGAAGUUAGCGCUUGUGUUAUGUUGUGGAGGUAAAGGUAGUGGAUAAUAGCAGUGAUAAAAACUGGUUCAGAGGUUCAGUGGAUAUGAAUAUUGUUGAUUGAUGAAAAGAAAUAACACAAUUUUUCUGGAUAUUGGAAGUGAUACAUUUAUUCUUUGCAAGCUGGAAGCACUUCAACCAGGAAAAAGGGGAGCUGUCGUGGGAUUAGUGGAAGAGAAGCAUUUCAUUCUCCUUUCUUAGAUGGAUGGUGACACCGCAGAAGGUUUUUAGUUUUCUUGUCUAUGUUGAAACCGAGGAGAAUUUUGAAGAACACAUGGUCUUGUUCUUGUUUUUGUCUUUAUGUUUGAACCAGAUUUUUAUUUUUAUAUUAGUGUUAUUUUGCUGUGAAGAAGUGUGCAUGUUGGUAGCUUUUGUCAUUUUCAUUUGGUGAUUAGAUUGUUGCUCACGGUGAUUUGUGGUUUCUUUUAGAAAAAGCUGAUUUAUUUGAGUUGAAAGAACUUGCACAAGGUGUCAAAUUAUUUUCUUUCUUUGAUGAAAGAAGAGAGCACGGUCAUUGAAAGUAAGUGGGGUCACGGCUUAAGUUGGUGCAGCUGCCAUGUGGAGAAGAAUUCAUCCACUUUAGAAAGCAAAAGUGGAAGGGUGGUUGGUGAUUUAAGUGAAGAAAAGAGAAGUGGCUUACAUGAUGCAUAUUUCUUUUAUUUCUGAGUUGGUGCAGCAUGGAGAGAAGAGAAGCACACUUUCAUUUGUUUAGAAUACUUUCAAAUUUUUUAUUCCAGCUUAGGAGUAGUUUUAGUUUAUUUUAUUUGCUGCCAAUUAUUUUGAUUCCUUAAGUGUUCACGUUUUUUUUGCAAUUGAGAAAAAAAAAGAAGGGGUGCUAGAAUGAGGAGGGCUAUUGCGUUUGCCUUUAGGGAAAGUUUUCUUGGCUUCUGCUCAAGAGCAAUGAUCUAUUGCUCUGUAGGAAAACCAAUAAAAGCACUCUCCCAUGCCACACCCUACACAACAGUAUUUGAGAUUGAGGUUCCUCAAUGCUCCUGCCGUUAUUCUCUCCUUGGCAAUGCAAGGAGUGUUUCGAGGAUUUAAUCACAUCUUACCACUUGGGAGCAUUUCUUUUCCUUUAGGCACAGCCUGCAGGAACUUAGAGGUGGAGAGACUCCAGGCAAUGACAUGUUAUACUAUGGGGAUUCAUCUUACAAUCAAGAACUUGUUUCUUUGUCUAAGCUCGUUCUUGAGAACCUGCUUAGUGCUGUUCAAUAGGAACCUUCCCAGGCUGCUCGAGGAAUUAUGGCACUUGAAGCUUGCAAUUGCAUUGCAUCAUCUUUUAUGCUAAACAGUGAAUUAUCACCUGUUUUGCCUUACACUGAUAGAAACUGCCAAGUCAUGUUUGAGUGCCAAAGACAAAUACCUUCAGUCAACCAUUCAACUCUUAAACAAACAAUGCCCAACUCUCUAGGGACAAUGAUUGCUAUCAAACUUGAAAAAGGUCUUCCACCCAAUAAUUAUAUGUGCAACAUUUGCAGAGCUAUCAGCAAUUGCUUUGAAGUUUCUAGUUUAAGUUAAUAUUCAACUCUAUGUUAUACAAGGACCUGUUUGUUUUAGAUUUAAAUUAUUGUAAAAGUUGAAUUUGAGUGUUAUGAGAUAUUAAUAUUAAGUAGUUGUAUUUA